ensembl:lncRNA
AGGGCUCCUCGGGUAAUGGUGUGAAAAGCAAAAGAUUGGACUAUUUUACUCUCUCAAAAUGAUGUUGGAUUUGAAAGCAAAUUGCAGCUCUUUUAUCUCCUGAGAUGGAGGAUGAAGAUGCAGCACUGGUGGCGCUGCGGGGAGGAGGCUCAACCAGGGCGAGUUAGUACGAAGAGGCAUUCCUGUGUUCACGCUUUUGCGCAGCUACUUUGUGAGAUUUGUCAGACGCUGCGAAGAGGAACGUUGGCGCUCAACACCC